UCGACUUGAGUAUAACAUUUCAAAUACUCAGUCUUCUUCUAAUUAGUGAAAAUUGCCUCCAAAUUAGAAGAAAUCAUCUGAUUUCGUCAGUCCCAUUCUGCUGUGUUCGCCAUCGUUCAGCACAGAGAGAGUGAAAAAGAAUUGAGCCUCUUUCCCAUGGGAAAAGGGCUGUAUUUGUCUGGAUUCAGAGAGAACAUCGCGGCAAAGAGUGACAUCACGUGGCCCAAAGGAUGUGUGGCCAUUGUUGUGCAUCCAAAGAGUGAAAGAGAGUGGAGCGUCUUUCCAGUGCGAAAAGGAAUGACUUCCUUUUGCUGAUUACGAAAGAAUUUGCGGUAAAGAGCGACAUCAUGUGGCCAUCAGAGGAGUGGAAACAUUGAGGAAUGAAAAACAAAGACAUUUUGGAAAGAAUAAAUAAAAAUUACUCACUUUGGCUGAGAGAU
rnacentral:lncRNA from 1 species